rnacentral:rRNA from 1 species
AUUGAACGCUGGCGGCAGGCCUAACACAUGCAAGUCGAACGAGUGGCGGACGGGUGAGUAAUGUCUGGGAAACUGCCUGAUGGAGGGGGAUAACUACUGGAAACGGUAGCUAAUACCGCAUACCAUCGGAUGUGCCCAGAUGGGAUUAGCUAGUAGGUGGGGUAAAGGCUCACCUAGGCGACGUUCCCUAGCUGGUCUGAGAGGAUGACCAGCCACACGGGAACGGAGACACGGUCCAGACGCCGAGGGGAGGGAGCAGUGGGGAAUAGGGCACAAUGGGCGCAAGCCUGAUGCAGCCAGGCCGCGUGUAUGAAGAAGGCCUUCGGGUUGGAAAGUACUGUCAGGGGGGGGGCGUUACCGGCAGAAGAAGCACCGGCUAACUCCGUGCCAGCAGCCGCGGUAAUAC